UACGGGGGGGGCAAGCGUUGUUCGGAAUUACUGGGCGUAAAGGGCUCGUAGGCGGCCAACUAAGUCAGACGUGAAAUCCCUCGGCUUAACCGGGGAACUGCGUCUGAUACUGGAUGGCUUGAGGUUGGGAGAGGGAUGCGGAAUUCCAGGUGUAGCGGUGAAAUGCGUAGAUAUCUGGAGGAACACCGGUGGCGAAGGCGGCAUCCUGGACCGAUACUGACGCUGAUGAGCGAAAGCCAGGGGAGCAAACGGG
rnacentral:rRNA from 1 species